GUACACGCUGUGACUAGCAUAUCAAUAAGCGGAGGAAAAGAAACUAACAAGGAUUCCCCUAGUAACGGCGAGUGAAGCGGGAAGAGCUCAAAUUUGAAAUCUUAAAGGGUUUCCCUUUACGAAUUGUAGUUUAAAGAAGUGUUUUCUGUUGAGGUUUUGGUAAAAGUUCUUUGGAAUAGGACAUCAUAGAGGGUGAGAAUCCCGUAUUUGACCUUUACUUUCAACUUUGUGAUACACUUUCAAAGAGUCGGAUUGUUUGGGAAUGCAGUCCAAAAUGGGUGGUAAAUGUCAUCUAAAGCUAAAUAUUGGCGAGAGACCGAUAGCGAACAAGUACCGUGAGGGAAAGAUGAAAAGAACUUUGAAAAGAGAGUUAAACAGUACGUGAAAUUGUCAAAAGGGAAGCGUUUGACACCAGUGUUGUUUUUCUGAAAAUCAAUUAAAGAACUGUUUAUGCUAAGUUGUUUAGACUUUAUCAGCUAACUGUUUAGUUUUGAGCUUUUCUUUAAUGCACUUUUCAGUUAACAAGUCAACAUCAAUUUCUUUUGCUGUAAAAAAGCUUGAGGAAGGUGGCUUGAGAUUCGUCUUAAGUGUUUAUAGCCUCUUGCCUAUGCAGUCGGAGAGAUUGAGGUCUGCAGCGUAGAUCCUUCGGGGCUAAAUGCAUUUGUGCUAAGUUAUAGCAUUUUAUAGACAACUUGUUGACUAUGAUUUGUCUUGUAGCUUACUCGCUUAUGUUAUUUUACCUACGCUUAGGAUGUUGACGCGCGUGUGUGCGUG
rnacentral:rRNA from 1 species